rfam:Picea glauca, whole genome shotgun sequence.
GGGUGCGAUCAUACCAGUGUUAAUGCACCGUCUCCCAUCAGAACUCCACAGUUAAGCGUGCUUGGGCUAGAGAAGUACUGGGAUGGGUGACCUCCUAGGAAGUCCUAGUGUUGCACCCU